UAGGCUGGCACAAAAGUAACUGUGGUUUUUGCCAUGACUUUCAGUAGCAAAAACUGCAGUUACUUUUGCACCAA
rnacentral:miRNA from 10 species